GAUGAACGCUGGCGGCGUGCCUAAUACAUGCAAGUCGAGCGAACAGAUGAGGAGCUUGCUCCUCUGACGUUAGCGGCGGACGGGUGAGUAACACGUGGAUAACCUACCUAUAAGACUGGGAUAACUUCGGGAAACCGGAGCUAAUACCGGAUAAUAUAUUGAACCGCAUGGUUCAAUAGUGAAAGACGGUUUUGCUGUCACUUAUAUAUGGAUCCGCGCCGCAUUAGCUAGUUGGUGAGGUAACGGCUUACCAAGGCAACGAUGCGUAGCCGACCGGAGAGGCGGCUCGGACACACUGGAAGUGAGACACAGUCCAAACUACGACGGGAAGCAGGCAUAGGGAAUCAUCCGCAAUGGCCGAAAGCCUGACAGAGCAACGCCGGGCCGGUGAACGCGGUCUUCGAAUCGUAAAACUCUGAUAUUAGGGAAGAACAAAUGUGUAAGUAACAAAGCACGCCUUGACGGUACCUAAUCAGAAAGCCACGGCUAACUACGUG
rnacentral:rRNA from 1 species